rnacentral:rRNA from 1 species
AACGAACGCUGGCGGCAUGCCUAACACAUGCAAGUCGAACGAGACCUUCGGGUCUAGUGGCGCACGGGUGCGUAACGCGUGGGAACCUGCCCUUAGGUUCGGAAUAACUCCCCGAAAGGGGUGCUAAUACCGGAUAAUGUCUUCGGACCAAAGAUUUAUCGCCUUUGGAUGGGCCCGCGUUGGAUUAGCUAGUUGGUAAGGUAAAAGCCUACCAAGGCGACGAUCCAUAGCUGGUCUGAGAGGAUGAUCAGCCACACUGGGACUGAGACACGGCCCAGACUCCUACGGGAGGCAGCAGUGGGGAAUAUUGGACAAUGGGCGAAAGCCAGAUCCAGCAAUGCCGCGUGAGUGAUGAAGGCCUUAGGGUUGUAAAGCUCUUUUACCCGGGAUGAUAAUGACAGUACCGGGAGAAUAAGCUCCGGCUAACUCCGUG